AAAGUCGUAACAAGGUUUCCGUAGGUGAACCUGCGGAAGGAUCAUUAACACGUAUCCAACGUUAAACCCCCCUGUGAACUUUUAUCGUGCUCUUGCAGCCCGCGAAAACAGCAAUCCUGGUAAAUCAGUCGCGAAAGUUGUAUUGAUUCAGGACCUCUGCGACGUGAGAAGUUACAGUUGCAAUUGAGCGUUCGAGGCAAGUGACUUGGUUUCCCAAAGCAAUUGGCGUCUGAAAGUGUCGCUGGUUGUCGAAGGAUAACGCUUUACGAUCGCUGUAGGCCGAACACCGGCCGGCGUCUAGGUCACCGGGCUCACGCCCCUUACAAACCCCACAGUUACCUAUAACGCAACCAUCGCAACGCAAGUGCACCGCCAUGGUUGGAAAACGAACAACUGUUAACAAUGGAUAUCUUGGUUCUC
rnacentral:misc_RNA from 1 species